ACUCUCAGCAAUUCACUACUUCCUGCAACAAUCUAACACCAUCCCACUAUGAAACAAAAGCAAAACAAGACUGAACAGCUAUCUUUCCUGGAAUUAUAUUGCUAUUGCAGAUGGUGAGUUGAUUCGAGUCUCUGAAUUCCACAGCAUUUUCCAUUACUGUGCUUGGCCCCAUAGCCACAUAAUCCUCCACCUUGGACCCUGGCCAACCCAGGAACUGCCAGAAUACCCUGAGCGCUGAUCCUCUCCUGAGAUUUUCCAGCCCAUCACUGUCAAGGAGGACAGCCAGCCACAGAGGAAGCAUUCAAGUUCUGGCAGCACUUUUCAGACAUCCAGCUGCAAUAUGCAUCAAACUGCUAUUGAUGCAGUCUGAUGCAGAAGGUUGGAAGAAGCAGUUGCUGCUGUAUGGGUCUCAAAGGAUAAGAGCAUGCCUACAAGGCAGCUGACUGCAGUCACAUUUUGACACUGUAGCACAUAAUCAGAUGUACUGAGUAAGUGGUCCUGGAAAAAUCUGGAGCCUUUCCUCUCAGCACGAAAUGUGAGAACUUGGCCAUGCACUGAUUUUGCUUGCAGUUGUCUUCAUCAGAUGUAUGAAUUGGAUGGAGACUAGCUAGGCUGAAAUCCCUUGCAGGCAGUCAUAGUAGACCUACUACAGCAAGUAAAACAUGUUAAGGACCCAUUGCCAUUAGUCCAUAAGUUCUGUUCAACCAACAUCUGAAUGGCUCUCUUCAUCUAAGGCUGCUGACCUAAGUUAAUCACAUCUUUUAAUAUUUCCUAAUACUUUAGCAAACAAUUCACAUUAAAGUGAGUAGGGCUGAAUACCUCUUAACUUCUCAUUAAACCAAGUUGGGAUUGGGUUCUGCAAUGAGAAACUGAUCCUUUCGUGUCAUUGGCCCAGUUUGGGGGAAUAAUCUUGCCAAUAGAGAUUCAGCGGGUGCCUUAGGUGCCAACUUUUAAAUGCCUGCUGAAAACUUUUUUAUCCUGCCAGGCCUAUGCAGGCAAUUAAGAGUACAUCAAUCACAAUGGUCUGUUGAUGUCUGCUUUUAAUUUCUUUUUGCCUUUGACAUGUUUUUAACAUUUUAUGAUGUUAUUGUUUGGUUUUAUGUUUUUAUACUGCAAACUGCUAUGAUAUAUGAUAUCUAUUUAUGAUACAGCAGUAUAUAAGCAAUUUCUAAAUAAAUGAAUGACAUAUUUCUUGAUGACAAUAAGCUGGCCGAGGAAAAUAAUUAUAUACAGGGGUACCUUGGUUCUCAAACUUAAUCCGUUCCGGAAGCCUGUUCCAAAACCAAAGCGUUCCAAAACCAAGACGUGCUUUCUCAUAGAAUGUAAUGCAAAAUGGAUUAAUCUCUUCCAGACUUUUAAAAACAACCCCUAAGCUAAAAGAGCAAUUUAACAUGAAUUUUACUAUCUAAUGAGACCAUUGAUCCAUAAAAUGAAAGCAAUAAACAAAUUACUGGAGUCACACAAUCAAUCAAUCAAUCAAUCAAUCAGUAACUGAACUGGGUUCCAUAGUCACAAAAAAGCCGCAAAAACAAAAAUGCAAAAUAAAUAGCAAAAACAGACAGACAUCAGUGCAACACUCAAAAAAAUAGGUGUGGCACUCAAAUCGGAAGCAUAACACUGAAAACGGAGCAUGUUCGGCUUCUGAAAAAAGUCCGCAAACUAGAACACUUACUUCUGUGUUUGCAGUGUUUGGGUUCCAAGUUGUUUGAGUACCAAGGCGUUUGAGAACCAAGGUACCACUGUAGUCCGAACCGUAGUCCAUUGAAAUAUAGGAAUGACACUGACCAUUUAUUUCACUAGCUCACUAUUGUCUACAAUGGCUGGCAGCAAUUCUCCAUGGUAUCAGACAUGAAGGCUUCUCUAGACCUCAGGAGACCUCAGGAAAUGAACCUGGGACCUGUAAUAUGCAAAGCAUGAUCUCUCCCACUGAGCUAUAGCCCUUCAGUAGGAGGACAACCCAUAAUUAUUUACUGUAUGUAGCUGCAAUGGUUUUGUCCUGACUGUAACAUCAACACCACCACUUUAUCCUAAUACUAUAGAAGCACAAACACUAUUAUAAUACUUUACAUAUUAGAUAUUUUACUUUCUUGGGUUCCAUGAUCACUGCAGAUGGUGACAGCAGUCACAAAAUUAAAAGACGCCUGCUGGAGAAAAGCGACGACAAACCUAGACAGCAUCUUAAAAAGCAGAGACAUCAACUUGCCGACAAAGGUCCAUAUAGUUAAAGCUAUGGUUUUCCCUGUAGUGAUGUAUGGAAGUGAGAGCUGGACCAUAAAGAAGGCUGUUCGCCGAAGAAUUGAUGUUUUUGAAUUAUGGUGCCGGAGGAGACUCUUGAGAGUCCCAUGGACUGCAAGAAGAUCAAACCUAUCCAUUCUGAAGGAAAUCAGCCCUGAGUGCUCCCUGGAAGGACAGGUCGUGAAGCUGAGGCUCCAAUACUUUGGCCACCUCAUGAGAAGUGUUGGGAAAGAUGGAGGGCACAAGGAGAAGGCGAUGACAGUGGACGAGAUGGUUGGACAGUGUUCUCAAAGCUACCAACAUGAGUUUGACCAAGCUGAAGGAGGCAGUAGAAGAAAGGAGUGCCUGGCGUGCUCUGGUCCAUAGGGUCACGAAAAGUCCGACAUGACUAAACAACAACAAAGAUCUAUUCCUGCAUAUUCAAAGUAUUUUCUCAUCUCAAUCAUCCUUACAAGAUGCCCACAUUAUUAUGCCCAAUAUUACACAUAUGGUGGUGGUGUACUGAGGCUGAAACAAUCGUGGCUUUAAAGGCUGCAAUCCUAUAUAUCAGGGAUAGUCAACAUGGUGCCCUCUAGAUGUUAUUGGGUUACAGUUCCCAUCCUCCCUAACCACUGGCCAUUGUGAUUGGAUCCAUUGAGAGUUUGAAUCCAUCAACAUCUGGGGGACACCACAUUGAGCUAUCCCUAAUAUAAACACUUCCCAAGAAGUAAGUCCCAUUGAACUCACUGGGGUUUACCUCUGAAUAGACAUGCACAGGAUUGUAUUGUAAGGUAAUCAGUGAAUGAGCGGCUCAGGUAGGUAAGAGUUGAACCAAGGAUUUCCUGGCUUCUGUCACCAAGCUACAUCAAACUCUUGUUGGGUCAUCUUUGGUGCAGAAUGCGAAUUGGUAUUGAGCCCUAUUAUUAUUAUUCUUUUUAAAGAUUAAGACAUAUUAACAAUAUGAUUUGCUGACAGAAAUGUUUUAUAAUAUGGGAAUAUGCGUUACUGAUGUGUAGAAUUUAAACAGUCAUGUAGAUUCACAUGGACGUUCCUUAUUAUUUUAGCAAAGUGCAGAUGAGACAUUAAUGUCAUCUUGAAGGAGUUUCAGCUUUUGAGAUCAAGAGCAGCAGAAAAAGAUUUCCAGUUGUUGGGAAUCUGAGAUUUUAGCAAUUUCUAUUUAUAUAAUAUUUACCACUAGCUGAGGAAAAAGCCCCUUCUCCUGCCAAUAUCAGGGGAAAAUGUCUACAUAAAUUAAGGCCUAGAACUAUUUUGGUUUAGAAUUUGUAACAAAUCUUCUGGGAACUUAGAAACCUUGUUGUUUUGUGGCAUUCCUUCCCUCCCCUAAUAUGCUCUAAUGAAUGAUAUUGAAAGAUAAGAAAUGUCUGUUUCUGAAAACAGCUGGCUUGGGUUUGGUUCUUUGGAAGUACAUUAUAAAGUCCUGGUUUAAAACCAAGAAGUUAAAUAGGAAGACUUCCAAAUCAGUUCUAUCCUUCUGAUAUUAAUUAAACUAGUUUAUAUCUAGAAGAAAGAUAAAACUGUAACCAGUACAAAAUUACUUGAUAGCCACUGUUGCAUUUUCAAAUACAAUGUAAGCAUUUAACACCUCAGUUGGCAACAAUAUUAGUUUGGUUUUAGCUGUAUUAGCUCUGCUGACUUCAGCAAGACAAUCCAUUUAAAUCCAAGUACUAUUCCAUUGUGGACUAUGCUGGUAGAAUCUGGGACCUCAUCCUAAAUAUAUGUUCCUGCAAGUGAACUCUAA